rnacentral:rRNA from 1 species
AAGAAGGCCUUCGGGUUGUAAAGCACUUUUGUUCCGGAAAGAAAUCCUCUUCGCUAAUACCGAGGGGGGAUGACGGUACCGGAAGAAUAAGCACCGGCUAACUACGUGC